rnacentral:rRNA from 1 species
AUUGAACGCUGGCGGCAUGCUUUACACAUGCAAGUCGAACGGUAACAGGCCUUCGGGUGCUGACGAGUGGCGAACGGGUGAGUAAUGCAUCGGAACAUGCCCAAUCGUGGGGGAUAACGUAGCGAAAGUUACGCUAAUACCGCAUAAGCCCUGAGGGGGAAAGUGGGGGACCGCAAGGCCUCACGCGAAUGGAGCGGCCGAUGUCAGAUUAGCUAGUUGGUGGGGUAAAGGCCCACCAAGGCGACGAUCUGUAGCGGGUCUGAGAGGAUGAUCCGCCACACUGGGACUGAGACACGGUCCAGACUCCUACGGGAGGCAGCAGUGGGGAAUAUUGGACAAUGGGGGGCAACCCUGAUCCAGCCAUGCCGCGUGCGGGACGAAGGCCUCGG